CAGUCGCCGCGGGAAUACGAAGGGUGCAAGCGUUACUCGGAAUUACUGGGCGUAAAGGGCGCGUAGGCGGAUAGUUAAGUCGGGGGUGAAAGCCCGGGGCUCAACCUCGGAAUUGCCUUCGAUACUGGCUGUCUUGAGUGUGAGAGAGGUGUGUGGAACUCCGAGUGUAGAGGUGAAAUUCGUAGAUAUUCGGAAGAACACCGAUGGCGAAGGCAAUCCCCUGGACCUGUACUGACGCUCAUGCACGAAAGCGUGGGGAGCAAACAGGAUUAGAGACCCCAGUAGUCCCUGUCUCUUAUAC
rnacentral:rRNA from 1 species